rnacentral:rRNA from 1 species
CUACGGGAUGCACCAGUGAGGAAUUUUGCGCAAUGGGCGAAAGCCUGACGCAGCAACGCCGCGUAAGUGAUGAAGGCCUUCGGGUCGUAAAGCUCUGUCAAGUGGGAAGAACCUAUGCAGUGUUAAUAUCACUGUAUACUGACGGUACCACUGAAGGACGCACCGGCUAACUCCGUGCCAGCAGCCGCGGUAAUACGGGGGGUGCAAGCGUUAUUCGGAAUCAUUGGGCGUAAAGGGCACGUAGGCGGCUUGGUAAGUCAGAUGUGAAAGCCCGGGGCUUAACCCCGGAAGUGCAUUUGAUACUGUCAGGCUUGAGUAUGGGAGAGGGAAGUGGAAUUCCUGGUGUAGAGGUGAAAUUCGUAGAUAUCAGGAGGAACACCGGUGGCGAAGGCGACUUCCUGGACCAAUACUGACGCUGAGGUGCGAAGGCGUGGGUAGCAAACAGGAUUAGAUACCCCGGUAGUC